rnacentral:rRNA from 1 species
AUACGUAUGUCGCAAGCGUUAUCCGGAAUUAUUGGGCGUAAAGCGAGUCUAGGCGGCUUGUUAAGUCAGAUGUGGAAAUGCGGGGCUCAACUCCGUAUUGCGUUUGAAACUGGCAGGCUAGAGUACUGGAGAGGUGGGCGGAACUACAAGUGUAGAGGUGAAAUUCGUAGAUAUUUGUAGGAAUGCCGAUAGUGAAGACAGCUCACUGGACAGAUACUGACGCUAAAGCUCGAAAGCGUGGGGAGCGAACAGGAUUAGAUACCCCAGUAGUCC